CAGUCGCCGCGGUAAUACAGAGGGUGCAAGCGUUAAUCGGAAUUACUGGGCGUAAAGCGCGCGUAGGUGGUUCGCCAAGUUGGAUGUGAAAUCCCCGGGCUCAACCUGGGAACUGCAUCCAAAACUGGCGAGCUAGAGUAUGGUAGAGGGUGGUGGAAUUUCCUGUGUAGCGGUGAAAUGCGUAGAUAUAGGAAGGAACAUCAGUGGCGAAGGCGACCACCUGGACUGAUACUGACACUGAGGUGCGAAAGCGUGGGGAGCAAACAGGAUUAGAUACCCCAGUAGUCCCUGUCUCUUAUAC
rnacentral:rRNA from 1 species